CAUUUUCUAAGCCAGUAUUGGCACACACUGGCAAGAGCUUAUACAAUAGUGGCACAAAUGUUGUGGGACUAACCAGCCACUCUGUAAUUGGACAUAAGACCCAUUCCGUGAAACAGAACCUAUCAUGACACCUGAUAUCCAAUACUGCUUGGGUAACUAAGAACUUGAAGCUAGAUGGGUCAUGGACCCCAGGAGAAACCAAAGACGAUUGUUCUGCUAAAGAAACCUAGCAAUAAAAUAACUCCUGGCAGGCAGCAUUCUGCAGUCCCCAUAGAGCCCGUGCCUCAUUCAGCCAUCAGCAGAGAAGCUUCCUCUUGCCAUAGCUAGGAACUAGCAUGGAGACCCCCAACUGGACAGCGUGCAGAAAGUGACAGAUUCUGGAACAUUCAGUUCUAAACAGAACAUCUUCAGCAAACCCCUCUCUACUCAGGGCUUAGGGAACUCUGCAGAAGAUGAGGCAGAAGAAUUGUAAGGGCCAUAGGAGAUGGAGGACGCCAAGGAAAUAAGGUCAGGUCCAACAUAUGUAUGACCUCACUGAAACUAUGACAGCAUACACAGGGCCUGCAGAGGUUCAAGCCAGAUGAGGGUCCCAGUACUGAGAGGGGGAAGUGGACACGAGCUCUUGUUCCUAAUCAUGAAGCUUUCUCCAACUGCCAUCAACUUGCAAAGGAAAAAUUCAUGUUUUCCAGUGGAGUCUCACUGAAUACUAACUACACUUAAAGAUCUGGAACCCACAGAGAGAAUGCUGGACACUCCUGGUUCUUCCUCCUUAUCCCAUGUCAGUGAGGCUCAAUUGUUUCUGACCUUGGAGGCAAAGAGGGUUCAAUAGAGUAUCCUAGAUGCUGAAGCAUAAAACAUGAGUCAUCAAACAACUUCAACAAAUGGCACGACACAACCACGGUCAAGCUGGGGGCAGCCCAGGACUCCAUUGCUUAGUAGAAAAGUUGCAGUGGGAAAGUCACCAUGCACACCUCAGAUCCAAGCUUCUUGUAGCAACUGGGAGAGAGCCAGAGCCUGCUGAAGCAGAGAGACAUGAUGCACUGCCGUGAACUCUUUCAGAGGAGGUAGGACCCCAGGUGAGGAGAAGGAAGAAGAGGAAGGAAACCUAGUAGGUCUUCUUUGCCCAGGACCUUUAUCCUUUAUGUCUUCCGGUCCUCUUCAAGGCUCUCGGUCACAGCCAUGGAGGAAAAACACCUCAGAAUAUUGUGCAAACUGAAACAGUUUGAUCGGUCCUUAAUCCA